rnacentral:rRNA from 1 species
GAUGAACGCUAGCUACAGGCUUAACACAUGCAAGUCGAGGGAACGGCGCACGGGUGAGUAACACGUACCCAACCUGCACUUUACUCUGGGAUAGCCUUUCGAAAGAAAGACUAAUACAAGAUAUAAAGGAUGGGGAUGCGUUCCAUUAGGUUGUUGGUGAGGGAACGGCUCACCAAGCCUUCGAUGGAUAGGGGUUCUGAUAGUAAGGUCCCCCACAUUGGAACUGAGACACGGUCCAAACUCGUACGGGAGGCAACAGUGAUGAAUAUUGGUCAAUUGGCGCUAGCCUGAACCAGCCACGUAGCGUGAAGGAUGAAGGCUUAUGGGUCGUAAACUUCUUUUAUAUAAGAAUAUGUAUUAUAUGAAUAAGGAUCGGCUAACUCCGUGCCAGCAGCCGCGGUAAUUC